GACGUAGGGCGCAAGCGUUGUCCGGAUUUAUUGGGCGUAAAGAGCUCGUAGGCGGCUUGUUGCGUCGACUGUGAAAACCCACGGCUCAACCGUGUGGUCUGCAGUCGAUACGGGCAGGCUAGAGUUCGGUAGGGGGAGACUGGAAUUCCUGGAUGUAGCGGUGAAAUGACGCAGAUAUCAGGAGGAACACCGGUGGCGGAAGGCGGGUCUCCUGGGCCGAUACUGACGGCUGGAGGAGCGGAAAGCGUGGGGGAGCGAACAGG
rnacentral:rRNA from 1 species